rnacentral:lncRNA from 1 species
AAUUUCAUGAUAAAAUUUUCAUUUAAAAUAAUCAUUUUAAUGUUAAAACACUUGUUUAAAAUCUCAUUCAUAAUUGAAUUACAAAACAUAGCUUCAUUUUCACUUGCAUAGAAAACCAGGAUCCUCCAAAAUAUGACUCUUUCUCUGAUGUGUACAAUCAAGCCGGUGCCGUCCCGUGAUACUGAAAGAAACCUGAAAACAACAUAACACAAAACACUGUAAGCACGAAGCUUAGUGAGUUCCCCAAAAUACCACACACAUAACACAUAUAAGCCACUCGAGGCUAUAACUCUAUGGGUCCGUGCACCCAAACUCUGUGAACCCUCAGGUUCUAACUCUGUGAACCUUCCGGUUCUAACUCUAGGAACCCUUCGGUUCCAACUCUGCAAACAUGCACAGCAUAAAUCACAUAGAAAUAAUGCAGUACAACACAUAACAUACAUAGCAUACAAAUACUCUGUCACAUAACUCUGGUUACCUACUCAAGGUAAAGUAUAGUGAGAAGACUCACCUGGCAAGCAGAAAGCAGAUAUCUCCAUACUUGAAUCUCGAACUCGCCACCGCCUAACACGUAAGGCAAAACUCUCAUGACUGUAACUCUCGAGACUAGAAUCAAUCCUCUCAAUGCACCUUCUUAAGGGUAAAAGAAUAUUUUACCCCUCUCUUGGCCCAAAGGCCACAUCGCUGACCAAACCCUAAAAGUCAACGGUCAACCCUUGGUCAAAAUCAAAGUCCUCAGUCAAAGUCAACCCCUGACUGACCCUACUCGCCGAGUCAACCCUAUGACUCGCCGAGUUCCUAUAAUCAGAACUUCACUCAAUCCGCGACCUAACUCGCCGAGUCACUCCGAGACUCGCCGAGUCCAACAACUCUGAGUCCACUCGCACACAACUCACCGAGUCAUCCCUUGACUCACCGAUUCUCGACUCAACCAGGGAAUAUCGGGACUCUUCGACAAGACUCGCCGAGUCCAAGAACAGACUCGCCGAGUCCAAGACUAUCAUCAACCUACUCGUCGAGUUGUUCAUACAACUCGCCGAGUUCCAGGCCAUCUUCAUCCAACUCGUCGAGUACACCCAUGUGACUCGCCGAGUACCACCGGUCUGAAUCCAUUCAGAAGCAUUCCAGGCCAUGCAAUUGCUCCAAAACAUAGAUCUAGCCUCCUACCACUCAUCCAUCACGUAAAGUGGCAAACUUUACGUGAAUCCAAAGAGAUCUAGGCCAUUUGCACAUUGGGCUAGGGUUUGGGACAUGAAAGCUUCACUAAACACUCCAACACAGGGACUUUCAUGCUCUCUGAUUCUUCUCCCUUCUAGAUCUGAGGUAGCAACCUCAGAUCUAACCUCUAGACUUCCCAUUACAUCCAUAGACAAGUUCCCACAAACCCCAAAAUGAAGAAACACAUAAUAACAGCCCAAGAACGAGAUAUUACCUCCAAGAGAUGCCCCAACUGCAAUGUAAUUCGAAUCCAAGCAAAGCCCCUUGCUCCAAGCCUUCAAUCUCCCAAAAUUCCUUCAACAAUUACUUCUCCAAGCUCCAAUCCACUCAACAAUGGUGCUUCUCCGCGAUUUAGGGUUUUCUGGGGCUCAAGGGGUGAUAAGGAGGCUGGGAGGAAAACAUAAUGUUCUUUAUAUAGGGCUCAACCCCGAGAAUUAGGGUUUUCUCCAAUCAGCGCCUACUCGCCGAGUCCUCCUCACUGACUCGCCGAGUUGGCUACUUAGCACGCGACCCAGUCGCGACUCUACUCGCCGAGUCCAUCCAUGGACUCGCCGAGUCACUCUUUCACAACUUACUCUUUUAGCCCUUCAACUCUACUCUUGAUAUUUCGGGAUGUUACAAUUCUCCCCCACUUAAAUUAGGCUUCGUCCUCGAAGCCUAUGGCAACUCAACUCCAAAAUACUCCCACGACGCGCCACCUGGCCCUAACUGGACCAGGUUCCUCAAAGCAUAACCAUCGAACUCGAACUCACUUCCUCUUUCCUUGCGGUGUCCUGACCACCGUCUCAAACCGGGCACCGGCUGUACCCUCUGAUAAUCACACUCAACAAUCGAGAAUUACCCGAGAUGUAUCACUGCUCCAAAUCUCAACAACCGCUCGACCCAUAAGGGCUAGAAAGCCAUGAACCAUCGGAUCCCCGAUCCGAAUCCCACUUUAUCCAUUCCGUGCUGACAGAAAGACCCACUCUUCAAUCUCAGAGCAACUCCCACGAGUUCUCCUCUUGCAAUCACAUACGCAUGCUGAACUUGCCCAGUACCCUCGGGUUGGGAAAAACCCGAUGCACUGAUGAUAUCCUCCAACAUCCCCCCAGGAUGAACCACUAGUACAUAUCCAAUACCCUGAUCAGAAUCAAGCUGGGAGUCCCCGACUCCCUCCCUGCAUUCAUCCUGAGACUCUUGGCCCUACUCUCACGGAACCCCUUCCGCGUCCUCAGCAGACAUCCCAACAUGAUGUCAUUCCAUACCACUGUCACAGACACAAUGUUCAACCACCAUACUCCAAAUCAUCCACUCUCACUACUACUUUCACUUCCAUGAACCAACACUCCCCCCCGGGGGUUACAUACCUUUCUCUUCCCUUACCCAGGGAAACCACUAGCCAACCUUGCCACUACUCCAUGUAUCACACAUGCUCUGGAUCUGCUCGCAAGGGCCCUCGGGUCCAUGCGCUACCUCUCCCCAAGAAAUGAGGGUCCGACACCUCCUCCCAUACAACAGCUCAAAGGGUGGCAUACAAAUGCACUAAUGAUGGCUGUUGAUAUAGGAUAACUCAACUAAAGAUAAAUACGUGCCGCAACUCCCUCCGAGAUCUAAUACACAUGCCCGAAGCAUGUCUUCGAGCGUCUGAAUCGCUCGUUCGCUCUGAAGUGUCCUCAGACAUCAUCAUGAUCCAAAUAACCCACUAACUUCCUCCCCGUGACCACUAUCCCGGCCCAGGGACGCGCAAGUCACAAAAUUCUCUUUUCCUCAUGCGAGAAAAUACAAUCCAACCGAGGAUCGCCUAAACUCUAAUCUCUGGUUUCUGCUGCGCAUAUCCCUUGCGCAUCUCACCGCAUCUCCCGACAGAGACGGUGACCCCAGUCUCGCCCCCGGUUCAACACCCAGGCUCCAGAACUCAAUACUAGGGAUACUCAAGCCCAAAACUCUUCCACAUCAUACACUGAUCGGAGAUCAUUCCAUCAUCACAUUCUCUUGCCAUCUAGUGAGUACUACGGCUCCCCGCAGUAUCACAACACCCUCUGACUAGUGAGUACUACGGCUCCCCGCAGUAUCACAACACCCUCUGACUAGUGAGUACUACGGCUCCCCGCAGUAUCACAACACUCUCUGACUAGUGAGUACUACGGCUCCCCGCAGUAUCACAACACUCUCUGACUAGUGAGUACUACGGCUCCCCGCAGUAUCACAACACCCUCUGACUCCACUAGUUCAUGCUCCGCAGACUAUCACAGGUAGCUACCCAUACUCGGCUCGAAUACACAUUCCAGACUCUGGAAGCAAUCGACAUAUCAAAAUGCCCACCCUUGCGAAGUUCCAUUCUCUUAAUAAUCUCCCUGGAUGCCCAUACUCGAAGGGCUCCCACUAGAUCCGUAGAUACCUGAUACACCACAAAUCGUUUCAACUCAAGAUUUACGAGUAACUCCGAAAUAAAGGUAUCAUACCCGGAUACCUCAGAAUAUCCCAACAGAACAUCACAAGAUCCUGCCACAACCACUGAUUCCCUUACUCCCAAUACCAUACACUCACGACAAUACAUUUCCUUUGAAUCCCAUAAUAAUUUCUGAUAUCACACGAUGCGCAACUUCAGUGCAUCCAAACACUCAAUUGGAAUACAAGGAAGGCGCUAACCCUUCAGAACACACUGAUGAUCCUCCGAAACCCUUUCCACUACCACUCAAAAUUCAAGCAAGAAUACACAUCCUAGCCCGGGAAAUGGGCUACUCGAUAAUCGGCUACCCAUAUCUCAACCCAGAAGUUCUCAACUGCCCAUACCAUCAUUACGAGCCUUCCACUCGAGACGACUCUGACCACCAUCAGAUUCCUGAUCAUUGACCACCCGCCGUGGAGACACCCAUCCUUCUCUUAGACAUAUAUCACAUGCAUUAUCUCGCCCUGCACCUUCCUUAAUCACCCAUGACCCUGAUCUCAUGAAUUCAAGCCGCAGGUUCUACAUCCAACCCCUAACCGCUCUUGCACCAAUCUCUGGUUCUCUCAAUAAACCACCCAGUUCUCCCCCACUUAGGGUUCGAACCAUCACUAUCUGACACAUCAACAACCUCACGAACUAUUUCCACCAGCAAUAACGCACCUGCCCCUGGAAAGUGCUACGCAACACCCGAUAAUCCCCUUUAAGGAAAUUAAUCGAUCUCAUAACUCUGAUCCUCAGAUGAACUCCUCAAGAACUUUUCGCCACGACUGCCUCUAGUCGUUCCAAAUCUCGUACCAAUCAAGUACCAAACAACUCAACUGCUCAAUAACAUCCCUGGCUCAUAGACCGAACCACAAAAUCAUCGUACCCCUCACCUCAACUCAUCAAACAUCGCUCCAACACCGGGAUCAUCCCAAGAACAGGGACCCACUCCCAUAUUCAACACCCAACAUAGAUAGAAAACUCUCUGCACUGUUAAACUCGACUGAACUCCCCACCGAUACCACUAUAAUACAUCCUACUAUACUCAAAUAGGUGUAGUGUGGUCCUCGACUAUCUCAGUCCCAACUGACUAUCUGCUCAUGACAAAUCACUGCCUCGCGGCACACAUGCUACCUGAUACUCUGGAAGAAAUCAUCAUCAAUAACGACCUGCAGGGUUUACCCCCAAACCCAAAACUAAAACAUCAGGCCUUUCAUGUUCCGCACACGAACAUAAAUAGCACCACUCACAUAGAAGGUGACCUCUCCUCUAUCGACUGAUUGCUCAACUCAGACCGAAAUUCUCCUCUCCCUCUAACUCCUUACCAAAAUACUCUGAUAGGCUCUCGCCUUCCCUCUCGAGGGACGCCUCUCCAAAUUCAAUCAUGGCCUACAGGCCUAAAACCCAUAGCGUCCAAUCUCUACCUCAUCAAUCGUGAUCGGAUAACCAGAGAAUCACAAGCAUCAUUCACUACGAACCAUGGUACUCAUCCCAUGACAUCUCUUCUCAAUAUGCUCCGGUGUAUGGUACCCGAACCAUAGCAUCACUCCUCCAUCUGCUCCGAUGUAUGAUACUCGAACCAUAACAUCACUCCUCAAUCUGCUCCGAUGUAUGGUACUCAACCAUAUCAUCACUCCUCAAUCUGCUCCGAUGUAUGGUACUCAACCAUAACAUCACUCUUCAAUCCGCUCCAAUGUAUGGUACUCGAACCAUAACAUCACUCCUCAAUCUGCUCUGAUGUAUGGUACUCGAACCAUACAUCACUCCUUAAUACGCUCAUUAGAAUCUUCAGAAUACUCCCUGUAUCAAGUAUGGGUCCUCUGCUUUCAGUAGUACGGGCCCAUACUACCUUCCACAUCUACCCAUACUUUCCACACGGACUAUCCCGGAGCUCCUAAGUAGCUGCUCGACCUUCUCGUUCACCAAUUCCAUCGCGCGCUCGCUCCCCAGCGAAAUUCUCUACCCUGCCAGUGCACUCAUCUGGCUAAGGUUACUCCCUAGGCUCUUCCUAGAUUCCCACACUUCUCUGCCAUCAGCUGCUGAAGAGCUCCUAAUGAUGCCAGCCAUCUACCUCCUGAAUAUCGUCAUAUUCGCUUGGUAGCUGACUCCCAUCAUCGAGAGUUCCACAAAGCACGAAGCAAGCAGCAUUCGAGCAUCGAAGAAUAUAUAUGACUCACUCUGGGUGAUAACUCCGCUUGCUCUGCUCAUCCUCGGAAGUACCACCGAACUCUGCAACUCUUCCCCUCGCGGGCUCUAACUAUUCUUUCUCCAAGUACUACAGUACUCAUCUAGGUAUCUUCCCUAGAUUACUCCACUACUCAAAUCCCCUAAAGGAUUCCAAUCAAAUAUUCUCACUCAUCACAUACUCAAAAGCACAACGCAUAUCACAGCAAUUCCUAGGCUAAGGCAUCACAAAUCAGGCCACUCUACUCCUAAUAUAUGGAAUACCUAGCCUGUCUCUAGCAUGCAAUAAUAUCUCAUAAAGUGCAUCAUAAAUAUCUCAUAACACAAAAGUAAGGGUAUUUUGGGAAAUCACCGUUCGGGCUCUGGCUGAUUGUACACACUGCUCUUUCUCGUUUUCUCUUUGAACUCUUAUUCGCUUUAGAAAAUUAUUUCUUUGAAAACUUUUCUUACUUCCUCAGUUUGAGUCCAGAAUUACCCGAAGGCGCAUCCGAAUCCCUCAAACCAAGGCUCUGAUACCAACUUGUAACACCGUAAAUUUCAAGACAAAAUUUUCAUUUUAAAUAAUCAUUUUAUUCUUAGAACACUUGUUAAAAAUCUCAUUCAUAAUCAAAUUACAAAACAUAGCUCCAUUUUCACUUGCAUAGAAAACCAGGAUCCUCCAAAAUAUGACUCUUGCUCUGGUGUGUACAAUCAAGCCGGUGCCGUACCGUGAUACUGAAAGAAACCUGAAAACAACAUAACACAAAACACUGUAAGCACGAAGCUUAGUGAGUUCCCCAAAAUACCACACACAUAACACAUAUAAGCCACUCGAGGCUAUAACUCUAUGGGUCCGUGCACCCAAACUCUGUGAACCCUCA